AGAAGGAGAGAGCCGGAUGUGAUUUCACCUACCUUGCAGGCUCUUGCGCCUCCUCAGCCAUAGCUUGACCCUCAACCUGUGGCUUGGGUACCUAGGAAAGAACUGAGUUAGAUUGAUGAGGACCUUUCGCACCUCAAUUCAUCUUCAAAGAGAGACAUAAACCUCAGGUAGAUCAAGUACAUGCAGACCCUCUGGUGGUGCAACUUCAAAUCAUCUAUUACUCAUAAGAACUACUACACUCCAGCUGCAGGAAUUGGUACAUCAGGACCGAUGUCAGUGUGAGUGGUUCUGUUGCGGUUUCACCACGGAAGGAUUACUUGAGAAUUGUUUGCUUUGGGUCCAGUUUCAAAGCUGGGGUUUAAAGGUAAGUUUAUCAGGAACCUUACUUUUGUGUGUGUGUGUGUAUGUGUGUCUUUCUGCCUUUUCUAGGGCGGCUCCCGCGGCAAAUGGAGGUUCCCAGGCUAGGGGUCUAAUUGGAGCUAUGGCCACUGGCCUACGCCAGAGCCACAGUAACACAGGAUCCUAGCCGCGUCUGCAACUUACACCACAGCUCACGGCAACGCCGGAUCCUUAACCCACUGAGCAAGGCCAGGGAUUGAACCUGCAACCUCAUGGUUCCUAGUCAAAUUCAUUAACCACUGAGCCACGAUGGGAACUCCAGGAACUUUACUUUUACUUCCAGCAAAGAUGUUUCUUGAAAACCUGGCAAGUUGGAGCAAAUCACUCAGUGUGACAUCCAUGCUCCUAGCCUACAACACAGGAAAAUACUAGGGUAAAAAAGGAACAUGAAGAGCAACUGAAAUGGGGGAGGGGCAGGCAGAGAAGGGGACAGAAGGCAAAGGUGGACACUAUCCCUUAAAAGGUUCUGAGGCUCUUGUUUAGGGUAGGCAUGAGUUUUUGUGUUUGUUGUGGUGCGAUGAGGGGUAUAGUCCUUCAGACCUUCUCUUGGGUUGGCAGAGAUGACCUCCACUGGGGUAGAGAAUUCUAUGAGUCAGGGUCUCACGUGUAUUGAGAUGGUGUAAAGUGAUGGUGUUUGUGAUUCCAGGAGCAAUCAUUUCGCAUGCAAUACGUGUGUGAGCACUGCUGGGAGAGUAUAUUCCUUUCUCAGGAUAGAUAGUGCCCAUGGCACUCAAAGAAACUUGAGAGUUCUUGGGUGACUAGGAGAGACCCCCACCCAGGAAAAUUGCCAGGCUCUGGGAAAUCCCAGAAAGAGGACUUGGGGGGGGGGGUCCGUCUCCCCUCCUGGACCCUUUAAACCACAACAUGAACACAGUCACUCCACAUUCAAUGACUUGCGUCCAAAUCAUAGGAGCCAUUCUGAUUCAUGUGUGAACUUCCCAUUGAAUGCAACGCAGUAAUAAAACCAAGUUACUCACUGAAAGGCUCUUGGUUCAGAGAGCAUAUGCUGGCAUGUACAAACGCUGUCAUUAGAAAAAAAAAUUACCCUGAUUGGUAGAGAGAACAAAGAGGCUUCUGGAAAGCUUGUAAUGUUCUGUUUCUUGUUCUGGCUGCUGGUGAAGAAUGUGUAUAAAAAUGAAUAGAGAUGUACACCUAUGAAUUUUGUACUUCUUUUCAGGAUGUAUUUUAUGAUGUGACAUAAAGGGUUUUUUUUUUUGGUUUUGUUUUUUUGUUUCUUUUGUUUGUUUGUUUGUUUUUAGGGCUACACCAGCAGCAUAUGGAAAUUCCCAUGCUAGGGGUCAAAUCAGAGCUGCAGCUACCACCCUGCAUCCAACAGCCACAUCUGAGCCAAGAUCUGAGCCACAUCUGAGCCAAGUCUGUGUCCUACACCACAGUUCACAGCAACACUGGAUCCUUAACCCACUGAGCAAGGCCAGAGAUUGAACCCAAACCCUCAUGGAUCCUAGUCUGGUUCGUUUCCGCUGAGCCACGGUGGGAACUCCCACUAAGAACUUUAAUGAAAAAACGAACCCUAGUGAGCGACAGCUUUCUGUGUGAUGAGGGUGGGCAUGCUUACUCUUCCCUUUACAAGUGCUGUUCCAAAGCUGUGGAAAUAAGCCCAAGUAUGUUUGACCCGGCUUCUCUUUUUUCUAGUUUUUUUAUUUGUUUGUUUGCUUAUGUUUUUAAGGGCUAUACCCACAACAUAUGGAAGUUCCCAGGCUAGGGGUCUGCUAGGAGCUGCAGCUUCUCACCUACCCUACAGCUACAGCAAUGCCAGAUCCAAGCCAUGUCUGCAACCUGAACCACAGCUCAUGGCAACACCAGAUCCAUAACCAACUGAUCAAGGCCCGGGGAUUGAAACUCCAUCCUCAGGGAUACUAGUUGGGUUGGUUACCACUGAGCCACAAUGGGAACUCUGAUACAAAGUAUUUAAAAAAAUAUCUGAACUGACUAAACACUGCUUCCUUUCAAGACACGUAUGGGGGUGGCUAGAUAAUUCUUAUCAAUGGGAAAACAAAUUAUGUUGAACUCUUCUCUUACACAGCUGGGGAGGAAGACAAUGGGGGUGGUGUUGACACAGGAAAGACAGAAACUUCAGUGUCUGCCAGUUCUUCUGAGUUACACAGGGGUGAGCUCCCACGGAGAUGGAUUUUCUUUUUUUCCUUAUUUUUUUUUCUUUUUUUGCGUUUUACGCCCGUGGGUGCGGCAUAUGGAGGUUCUCAAGCUAGGGUCAAACUGGAGCUACAGCUCUCGGCCUGUACCACAGCCACAGCAAUGCAGGAUCUGAGCUGCGUCUGUGGCCUACACUGCAGCUCACAGCAAUGCCAGAUCCUUGACCCACUGAGCGAGGCCAGGGAUCUAACCUGCAACCUCAUGGUUCCUAGUCGGAUUUGUUUCCGCUGAGCCAUGAUGGGAAUUCCGGAGAUGGAUUUUCAUUCAGAAGAAUGAUAGAUGCCUCUUUGAAUUCACAGAGGUGGACCCCAACCCGAGGAAGGAGUGGAGAGCUAAUCAUUCUGCCCUGUAAAUAAAGGGACUCUAGGGGAGUGCUAAGAGUGAAUGAAUCUAGAGUAUUAGGGAAUAAGAGGUGAUGGCUGAAGGACAGGACUGAGUAAGCCGAUGACAGAGUGAAGCCUGGGGAACGAUGGCCAGAAAGAAUGGGAUGCAUUCUAAGAUGCUGUAGCCAAAGAACUUCUAAGAAGAGAGGUAAAUGAGAGUUCCCAUUGUGGCUCAGCAGAAACGAAGCCAGCUAGUAUCCAUGAGGCUGCAGGUAUGAUCUCUCGCCUUGCUCAGUGGGUUAAGGAUCUGUCGUGGCACAAGCUGUGGUGUAGGUUACAGAUGCGGUUCAGAUCCCAAGUUGCUGUGGCUGUGGCAUUCGCUGGCAGCUGCAGCGCCCAUUCCAACCCAAGCCUGGGAAUUUCCAUAUGCUGCACCUGUACCCCUCCCCUGCCCGGAAAGAAAGAAAGAAAAGGAAGGAAGGAAGGAAGGGAAGGAAGGAAGGAAGGAAGGAAGAGAGAGAGAGAAAGAGAGAGAGAGAGAGAGAGAAAGGUAGGAAGGAAGAAAGAAAAGAAAAAAAAAAAGAAGUGUCUGAUAGUUAAUGUUCAAUUGUCCAUGUGGCUGCGAUGAAGCCUCUCCAUUGCUGCAAAUCACCACUAACAUCUGCUACCUCAGCUAUCCCGUUACUCACCUGCCCUCUAAUAUUACAGACCAGCCAGAGAGAUAAUGUAAGUUACUGACCCAGAGAGAGUGUCUGUUGAUCUGGCUGUUUUAACUCGUCUGUGGCAGAACACUGAAAUGACUUUCUUUUAACAAUGCGACGUGUCUGCAACUUGGUGAUUUGGGCACAGUCUCUUAAAUUGUAAAAUGGCAAAGUGUGGCACCCCCAUAAAAAAAUGAUCGGGGGGGUUCCCUGGUGGACAGUGGUUGUCACUCCUGUGCUUGGGUUCCAUCCCUGGCCUGGGAACUUCCACAUGCCAUGGGCGUGGCCCAAAAAAUGACCUGGGCCUCUAAGGAGAUAGCUAAUCCUGACUCAUGGAAUGUAAUUGCUGUUUUCAUCUUCAAGUGCAGAAGAUCAGUGUCUCACUGGCAGCUUUGGUGUGGGACAAAGAGCAGUAAAACUUGAAGUCAAGGUGGUAAACCAUAUUUCUUGGGAAAGCUACCUAGCAUCUAUAAGCUUGUUUCCUCAUCUAUAAAUAGAGGAAAAUAACUCUCCUGUGGAGAUUCUCCAAGAUCUAAAUGGACAAAUGCAUUUGAGGUAAAUCUCUUGGCAAAUGGCAUGUAGUAAAUACUCAAUAAAUAUUACCUCCUUUCCUUCUUUCAUGUCCUUAAUGUUGUAUGUAGAAGUAUUCUGUAACUUGUAAAGCCAUUAAAAAAAUUAGUGGUGGAGUUCCUGUCGUGGCACAGUGGAAACGAAUCCGACCAGGAACCAUGACGUUGCGGGUUCGAUCCCUGGCCUUGCUCAGUGGGUUAAGGAUCUGGCGUUGCCGUGAGCUGUGGUGUAGGUCACAGAUGCAGCUCAGAUCUGGUGUGGCUGGCUGUGGUGUAGGCUGGUGGCUACAGUUCCGAUUGGACCCCUAGCCUUGGAACCUCCAUGUGCCAUGGGUGAGGCCCUCACAAAGACAAAAAGACAAAAAAAAAAAAAAAAAAAAAAAAAAA
rnacentral:lncRNA from 9 species